ACACACGCCAACACGCGGCCAGCAAACACACUUUUCGGCUGGCCAAGUGAAACAAAAUUCUUGCCUGUUGCAGCCAAAGCGUUAGCAAACAUAGUGAUAAAGACAAAGUGUUCAAGACAAAAUGUAAUCAAUACCAUUAAAAAUUAUACAACAAGAAAUCAACUUAUUAAUCAACCGAUCAACUGGAAAACUGAGCAAUGUCAAGGCAAAGGUUCUCAACAGCAUGUCCCGUUUAAGAUGCGCACAAUUAGCUUAAAACGACAGCAGGACAUGGAG
rnacentral:sRNA from 1 species